CUUGAACUUCAAAAAUAGACUUCUCUGGGUCUUCAGCUGCCAGACCACCCUGCACUCCAGCCUUGCCAACCUCUUUAACUGUGUGACUAUUUUUUCCAGAAAGUCCAGACUAAUCCAGCGAGGGAGCCAGGGCAGUCAAGAGAAGUGUUAUGAUGUGGAAAGGGAGGGAGGAACGGAGCACCCUCAGUACACAGGAUCUUCUCACCCAGUGCCACCGUUAGGAGAGGAACUUGGCAUCUUAUUUGGGCGCCGUGCUGUGGGCUGACCUCCUGGAAGAUCCCGUAGAUGACUUGUGCAAACAGCCUUCCAAAAUCAAUAGAUUGCAAAAAAUC
rnacentral:lncRNA from 1 species